rnacentral:rRNA from 1 species
GACGAACGCUGGCGGCGUGCUUAACACAUGCAAGUCGAACGGAAAGGCCCUGCUUUUGUGGGGUGCUCGAGUGGCGAACGGGUGAGUAACACGUGAGUAACCUGCCCUUGACUUUGGGAUAACUUCAGGAAACUGGGGCUAAUACCGGAUAGGAGCUCCUGCUGCAUGGUGGGGGUUGGAAAGUUUCGGCGGUUGGGGAUGGACUCGCGGCUUAUCAGCUUGUUGGUGGGGUAGUGGCUUACCAAGGCUUUGACGGGUAGCCGGCCUGAGAGGGUGACCGGCCACAUUGGGACUGAGAUACGGCCCAGACGCCUACGGGAGGCAGCAGUGGGGAAUAUUGCACAAUGGGCGGAAGCCUGAGGCAGCAACGCCGCGUGCGGGAUGACGGCCUUCGGGUUGUAAACCGCUUUCGCCUGUGACGAAGCGUGAGGGACGGUAAUGGGUAAAGAAGCACCGGCUAACUACGU